GGGCGGUCUGGUAGAUCUGGUCGAGGUCCGGCCGCUCCUCGCGGUCGACCUUGAUGUUCACGAACAGGCGGUUCAUUACCGCCGCCACCUCC
rnacentral:tRNA from 3 species